CUUCUCCACAGAGGCCUCUGGGGUCACAGGCGGGGCAGAGGCCGAGCUGCGCAGCCUGGGGGUGGAGCUCUGUGCCAGCCCGCUGCCGCCGGGACUGGGGAAGCCCUCGCCGGGCUGGCAGCUCCCCCGGGCCCCACUGUGCGGGCGGGGAGCGCGCCUGACCCAGCCAUUGUUUCCUAUCUCCGCACCAGCGUCAGUGGAAAAUCUCCCCCCUGCCGCGCCUGGGUCGGGCUAUUUAUCCGGCGGCGCUGCCGUCACGGAGAGCGGCGCUGCUGACGGGGGAGCUGACGCUCUUGGCCGCUACCGCUGGGUUUGCGGCGGCUACAGUGGGGCUCUGUGUGGCGCUGGGAACGGGGCGCGGAGGUCCCGCCGCAGCCCCCGCUUUCUCCUCCUCCUGGCCCCCGGCUGCGGCAAGUGGGGGCCGGGCGCUGCUGCUAGCGCCGCCCCCGGGCCGCGCCUGGCCUUGUGCUGCCUCUCCUCCUCUGGCGGCGCCCGGGCUGAGCUUGGGGAGCGCGGCCCGCGCAGCUGGGGCAUGGUGCGGUGCGGCUCUGAUGGGAGGGACGCGCGGCGGACAACACAGGCAGGAAAGGAGCCAGUGGGACUAGAUAUCUGAGACUUGAUUGCAGCAGAAAACUCAAUUUGAAGACACACAGCAAUUCUCAGAAGUCUCAUUCUCUCAAGAAGCCAAUAUAUGGGACAACUGUUUAUUAUGAAACUAUUGGCAAUCAAGCAAGCUCUCUUUGUUCCAAACUCCAAGGAAGUCACUGUUUAAAGUGCUUGUUAUGUGCCUUUUAAAACAGGUUCCUAAAGUGGCCGUAAUGAAAAGGUAGUGCUCUUACUUUCACUCUGAGUAACUCUAUUCUGUGAGUUAAGUUUUUUUUGCUUUUUUCAGAAUUCUGUUCUAGUCUUUGAUCCCACUGAAGUCACUGGGAGUUUUACUGUUGACAUAAAUAGGGUGAUGCAUAUACAGUGUUUCAUAUGUUUUUGAGAUGAGGAAAAUACUGUUUCAUGCAAGUCUUCAUUAAGCAUUUAAUUAAAAGUUCCCUAGUUAAGGCUUAAUUUCUAAAUUGUGAUGUGUAUUAAAUGUAUAUACAGAUUAUAUGUAAUAUAUACAAUAAAAUAUUAUAAUUGAGUUCCUUAGAGUGGUGG
rnacentral:lncRNA from 1 species